AGGCCGCCAUCAGGGCUCGGGCGCAGCAGUGGGCGCGGGGCCAACCUCACAAGGCCUGGCCAGGCACAACCCCUGCUGCCGCGGCCCCGAAGCCCAGAGGUGCGCGCGUCGGAGCCUCGCUCUUACCAUGCUGCGCGAGGCGGCCUCCCUGUUUGAGUCUGGCGCCAACAACCGCGUGGGGUGGGAAGGACCGGAGGAAGUGCAGGGGAGAUGCAACGACCCCUGGCGGCCCUGGAUGCGUGUGUGGUAGAGUGGUCCAAAACUCAAUGUCUCUCUGCCUGCCCUGCCUGUCUCCUCACUUCUGCAAGGACAAACUGAAUCCUGCUCCUCUGGAUAGAGAUGCCGCUGGCUUCACGAGAGAUGUAAUCCGAGUGAACAUCUGAGGUAUCAGAUGAUGGGAGCCGCUCCUCUCUAAAUCUUAUAGACUCUAGAGAGCCCAUGAUGGCAAUGGUUCAUACCUGGAGAAGAGGAAAAGUGAAAGAGUUCCAGUCUGUUCUGAAGUAGAAAACAUGACAUGAGCAUGACAGCUCAGAUAUGGCACAGGGAGACACUGUUUGAGAGGUGUUUUCUUGAAUUUGAGGACUGUGGUAACAAGUUUCUUUAAGAAGAAUAGACACACACACUUACCAUCAAGCUACCAGACACUGAACUCCCAGAGGACCGUUUGACCUAUUCUCUAGAUGGUUCUGUGGCUUGAAGUACAUAUCUGGCCAUUUGAUAUAAUACAGAAUAAUACAGAAUUCUUU
rnacentral:lncRNA from 1 species